AAAAAAAAAAAAAAUCAAACGACAUAAUUGCCAGAUUAUAAAAUGCAAUUUAGAUCUUUAUCUGUCAAGAGAAAAGGCUAUCUGUUCCCAUUAUGCCAAUCCCAUAAAAAAAAAAAAAGGUCCUAUGGUGGGCUUGAUAAAAUAAUGACUGGGGUCUACCAGACUGGGAAAUACGGCUGUUCUGUUGAUACACGUACAAACGUAUAAACAACGCUUGCAAAUUCUGCUCGCAGUGGCCCUGUGGCAGCUCCCGCUGCUGUGUCGCAGCGUGGGAAUGGGCAAUGUUCUCCAGGUGGUCCGGGGAGCAGCGAACUCUCGCAGGAGAGCUCCCUUCCCCAUCUCUGGAUGGAGGUCAGCCUAUGUCAGCCACGUAGCAGGGAGCAGCGGGCACACUGGGGUAAGCCACUCUGCGGCAGAUGUCAUCCCUGCUCCAAAGAUAGUGGCAAAUUUGCCCUGGAUAAUGCAAUGCUGAACAAGAUAACUCUGCGAGCGCCAAGCAUUACCUCCUCCCCUGCUCGCAAAGCCAGCGACUUUGCACUGUGAAAGCAGCCUACUGUACUGCCUUGCUUAGAGGUCAUGUGCCCUAUUUUGAGAACUGAACCAAAGCGGAUGAAGUUUUGAGCCGCGUCCAAGUGAGGCAGCUGGGCAUUUCCCACUGCUCCCGGCCCCAGUGAAGCAGGCGGUCACAUGCUGUGAUGGGCAAGUCCUUCAGCUGAGAGUUAACUUUGAUGCUGCUCACCUCACCGGUGACUGCGCGAGAUGCGUAGCCGGCUGGGGAUCGCUUUUCAGAAGGACUGCAGCCAACUUUGGGUGGAUGCAGCGGAGCGGAGGUUGCUUUCCCAGUACCACUGGUGCCGGUGUCCCGAGAGCACUCCGCAGCCUGCCGGCUCCCCAGCUCGCUGCACUGAACACCUGGCUUCCUGGGCACAGCAAAAGUCUUCCAAACCCGACACAAGCCCUGGAAAAACAUAGAUGGAAAAACUGAAGCAGAAUAGUUGCAACUGAUGUGCCUGCAGUUGAAGGAUGGGGCCCCAUGUGAGUUAUGCAUGAUAUGAAGGCUGCCUUGGGACUCUACAUCAAUCUAUUCAUCAGCAGACUCCAGUGCAUUUUAGUGCUCAAGCUGAGAUAAUAACCAGUGAUCUACCACGCAGCAUGGAAGUUCUACUGUGAGUCAGUUUCCCCAAGUCAAAGCUGUUGGAUGACUGAUGCCCUGACUAAUUAAACAAGUAGCCAAGGUUCAUAAUUCUUGGACAAAUCCUGUCCCACCCAGAAGGCUACCCUGCCCCACCCAUUGUGAGCAAGAAAGCUCUUUGAUGUGAGGAAAUGGAGAGAAGGAAAUAACAUUUGUUUGAGAAAGUGAGAGCAAAUGGCAAUGUCAGGAUGAUGCCUACCCACUCUGACUCUUGUGAAGGAUGCAGAAGCCCCUACGAAGCCACACAUCUGAUUUUUCAGGGCUACUGAAGGGUUGUUCAAUGGGCUGUAACAAGAAAACAAGUGCCAGUGCCAGUAACAGUAAUGACCUAGCUGGAAACUUCAUGAGGAACUCUGCUUUACUCAGUCUUGAGAUAACAGAGACAUGCCACCUGCAUGCACUACCUCCUUGCAUUCUGCCACCAUGUCACCAAUCCCUGACGGUAUCAUUCAGCUCUCUCUGACUUCAAAUAUAGUUCUUUGUGAUAGCAACAUCCAAAUCGCUUGAGAAAUACCUGAGAGUCUUCUGUGGUUUAACAUAGUAUCAGGACUUGUUUAAGUGCUAAUAAACGUGGGUGUAAACACAUCGCAAGAGUCUCUUCCAGAACCCUUUCUGUGCACUGGUGAAACUUCCUGCCAUCUGCUGGAAGCUUGCCUAUCCUUUAGAGAUAGCUGUGAGCAGGGGGAAGGUACCAGACUAAGGGUGUACAGGGCAGUGAACCAAUGGAAUCUCACAGCCAAUAUUGGGCUGCCUGCCGUCAGCCACCAGAGGUGACAUUCACUCUACAAGAAAAAAUUAUUAAUGCUAACACCAUCCUGACUUUCUUCAGGAUCUCAUGGACAGAAAUUUAGAGGUUUAUUUCAAACAUUCAGCUUGGGUAAUCGCAAAUCUUACUUUUUAAUUCCAGAGGUCUUGGGAACAGUGCCAGAGCUGAGCUAAAGGGGAUAUCAUUCAUUAUCAGUAGUCUAACCUAUGCUGAGAGACAGAGUCCUCCAGCACCAGCAUGUCCAAAUUUCAGAGCAUGGUUCCUCCAUGACUCAAGAAGUAUGAGUUUCUUUUGUGAAAAAUUAAAGCACAGUCUGUGGUGUUAUAUGAACAAAAAUUUUAAAUUGUGGUACUUUCACCAUCCACAUUUGAUUUGUUGAGUUGCAAUCAGGUGUGGUUCAUGAAAAGCAUAUAAACUAUGGAGGUGCUUCCACCAGCCAUCAGUACAAAGAAAUCACCAGUGUUUAUCAAUUUUUAUGCUAUAUUUUAAGAUGUCAUGCUAUCAUUACCUGGAUCUGUAAUGUAUCCAAAUCUCUUUUGGGGAAAAAAAAAAAAAAAAAGCCAGUAGUUCUAUCUUAGGCAUUCCAAUACUUUGCUCUUUAAGGAUAUAUGUAUAGACAGUGAAUAGAUACAACUGCCGUGAGAAAAGAAUAGAUGCAUGCCCUGCCCUGGCCCAUUACCCUCUUAUUCAUUUCAGUACACUGCUUGAUUUGUAACUAUCACUCCUUGCUCAGCUAUUUAUUUUAUGGUAGCUCAUUGCAAUUCCUGUCAUUGCUUCCUCCUUAUUUUUCCAUUUUACCUGAUGCAGCUUGGCAUGUUUGAUAAGCGUAAGUGGGCCCAACUCAGUCUUGGCAUCUUCAAGCACAGUGCAACUGACAUCAGUCAGAGCCACUAAUAACAGGAUGGACUUGGCACCAUGGAUGCACUGCAGGUAUCAUUGCAAACCGAUGACUUCAUUUCUGCCUUUAUCUGUUUCAACCACCAUCAAGGCCUCAAAACCCAAAAGGGAAAUUGUGCUUAGUUUCAAGAAACAUGAGAAUUUUCUUCAGUGUUUUCUACCUGUCUCUACUGCCACUCUAGCUUCAGAUUUCCAUUUCUCUUGGUGUUUUCUGCUCUCAUCAUGGGACUAUGUUUAUUCCCAUCCUCUAUGGUCUCAGCAUCAGGACUCGAGAAGAUGAGGCAGUUUGAGCUGUGCUGUAUUAUUUAUCUCACCUAUUUUCCCUUCAGCAAGAAAUGACUCUGAACUCUUCCUCCUUCCACUCUCCCCCAAAUUUCUCCUCUUCUUUCCUCAGUAUUAAGAGUCAGCAGAAGUAGAAAUCCUAGGUAUUCAAGUGGUGGCAGAGAUUUAUUUUUUUUAUUUGUUUUAAUUUUGCAUUACAUAUGUAUGUCUAUCUCUGGUAAAAGUAAGUUGUUUUUCUAAAUGAAAGGAUGCCCAAUAUGUUUAUCUGUUAAUUUUGAAUUCACAAGAAAAAAUGGAACAAAAUGCUACAACUGUUGCCAUCAUCUAGAAGGAAUAAAAAUUUCAGACUCUGGUCCCAGCUUUAUGCAUUUGAAAUGCAGAUUUCAGUAUUUCAGUGCUAGCUGUUUUAUAGGAAAUACAUAGGUAAAGCUUCUUGAAAGAAAUGAGGUACAUCUAUUUGCUUAAUCUCAGAAGAGAGGAAAAAUGAUUGUAAUGCUUCUGUUUUCAGAGUAGUGGUGGAUCGAUCUUGCUUUAUUUUAAGAAUCUUUAAAUAUUGGAUUUAUCAGGGUCAUCGCAUAAAAAGUGGGAGAUUGCCGGGUGUGAUUUCCUCUCUUCUCUACAAUCUACUCUGCAGCAUCCAGAAGAAUAAGUUAUGUGAAAUAAUUAAAUUACAGCAAUAAAUGUUAACAUUGCUUUGUGAAAGUAAAGCAUAAAAGCAGGCACAGGAAGGGUAGAAAACAUAGAGAAAAAUCUGCAGAUUUUACAAGAGGUGUGGACAGAGAAGGGAGAACAAGGAAAUUGUACAGACUUUUAUCACAACUACUUAUGACUUUUUCUGGGGGUUGUAUUUCUUUGUAGUCUUCCUCUACCCUCUUGACUCUCCCUAUAAAGCAUUUUAUGAGACAUGUUAAGUAUUUUAUGUAAAAAAUAAGUUGUAUCACAUUGCACUGUAGGUCAAGGCAGGAAGGACACAUUGCCUGAAUAGCUUGUUAAUCUCUUUCAUCUUUCUCAUGCUGUCAUUAAUGCUUAUCUGUUCCCAUAGCUAUUGCAAAGUCAUCUGUUUUCUCCAGUGGCAUAGUGCAAUAAUAAAAUCUUUGAUUUGACAUACAA
ensembl:lncRNA